UAUUUUUCCUGCGGUCCAUAUUCCAUAAAGAGACAGAAAACUUUUGAGGGGCCUUCUUGCAAAAUUACCUGAACCACAUGGUUCACAUCUAAACCCUACCGAACCCUAACUGCAACCUCUGCUUCUUCCCCGGCCCUCUCCUUCGCCGUCCCUCCCCGUCGCCGCCCCCGCAAGUGCUCUCUCUUUCUCUCUCUCUCUCUCUCUCAUAGGUACUUUUCCAAUCCUUUUUCCCUCACUCAUCGCCUCAUUUGAGAGAUAUAAUGAAAUAUGUAUAGUAAAUUAUUUCUUUACUUGCGAAAGAGGAGUUAUAUGUUAAUUGCACGACGUGAUAAUGUUAUGCUAUUGUACUAUUAGGUUUGGGGAUUUGUAUUGGUUUGCUCGUGCUCUCCUGCUUCUCUGUAGUUGGCUUUUUAUCGUUAUCCAGUGUUAAUGAGUUUCGAUUCCAUGUUGUUGUUAUUGUUGUUAUUAUUGCUUUGGUUUAGACAUAUACUUGGCUACAUACUUGAGCAUUUCGAUCAAGUAGCAUAUGAACAUGUUUGUGAGCUUAUUGCGGAUUGAAUGGGUUUAAUUUGUAUCUGUUUGACACCCUACUGUGAAAAUUCUUACCUGUUGUCCAUGGUACUGCAAUUUUUGUCAACUCACUACAUCUAGAGAAAUGCUUCCUAAGCCGAACUUCAAUGAACUUAAUUUAGAGUCAAUUCACUGUAUCUAGCUAGUUACAUUAUUGGAUUGCAUUGAAAAGCAUGUUAAUUAUCAUUUAUAUUAUGUGUCUUGGACCACGGUCAUUCUUUCAAGGUGCAGCAAAAAAAAAAAGAAGUUAGUGUAAUAAUCUGUGUAAGUACAGGCAUAAAUAUUAGCAUUCCUAUCAACAAUCAAUUGUAAAAUGGUGAAUACAACGAAUUUCUUA
rnacentral:lncRNA from 1 species